GGUUCUCAUUUAAAUCCUAAAACACUAAACACCAAACCCUAGUUUUGUUCCUCUCUCUCUCUCUCUCUCUCCCUCUGACCGAUGGUAACCCAGCACCUGUCGAAGCCCUCCUUGCUACAAAACAUCAUUCCAUUCGUGCUAGAAAUCGGUCGUUAGGUAUCUUGGAUUUGGAAACUUGCUGUCUGGAGGAGCAGGAGUGGUCAUGGGUCGACUGGAGGGACUCAUGUGAUUAUCUGUUGCUAUUACACAUUGGUUUUUGAACAAUAUAACUAUGGUUUAUUAUUUCCUUUCGCUGAACAUGUUGGUUUACAUUUAAACUCGUGAUUGGUGUUUUUCAUUAAUAAUUGAGGAUUUUAUUUUGAAACUA